UACAGAGGGGGCAAGCGUUAUUCGGAAUUAUUGGGCGUAAAGAGCUCGUAGGUGGUUUGUCGCGUUGUCCGUGAAAACUCACAACUCAAUUGUGGGCGUGCGGGCGAUACGGGCAGACUGGAGUACUGCAGGGGAGACUGGAAUUCCUGGUGUAGCGGUGGAAUGCGCAGAUAUCAGGAAGAACACCAAUGGCGAAAGCAGCUCUCUGGGACGGUACUGACGCUGAGACGCGAAAGCGUGGGGAGCGAACAGG
rnacentral:rRNA from 1 species